AGCAGCCGCGGUAAUUCCAGCUCCAAUAGCGUAUAUUAAAGUUGUUGCAGUUAAAAAGCUCGUAGUUGAAUUUCGGGAUCAAUACGUCUGUCGUGCCUUUGGUACGUACGGGUGUAAUUGGUUUCUACCUUCUGAGGAUCCUUGAUGUCAUUAAUUUGGUGUCUUGGGGAAUCAGGACUGUCACCUUGAAAAAAUUAGAGUGUUUAAAGCAGGCAUACGCUUGAAUACAUUAGCAUGGAAUAAUGAAAUAGGACGUUCGAUUCUAUUUUGUUGGUUUCUAGGAUCGACGUAAUGAUUAAUAGGGAUAGUUGGGGGCAUUAGUAUUCAAUUGUCAGAGGUGAAAUUCUUGGAUUUAUUGAAGACUAACUACCGCGAAAGCAUUUGCCAAGGAUGUUUUCAUUAAUCAAGAACGAAAGUUAGGGGAUCGAAGACGAUCAGAUACCGUCGUAGUCUUAACCAUAACUAUGCCGACUAGGGAUCGGAUGAUGUUUAAUUUUUAAUGACUCAUUCGGCGUCCGUU
rnacentral:rRNA from 1 species